rnacentral:rRNA from 1 species
GCCUACCGCAUACCACGUUGAACACACCGGUUCUCGUCCGAUCACCGAAGUUAAGCAACGUCGGGCCCGGUUAGUACUUGGAUGGGUGACCGCCUGGGAACACCGGGUGCUGUAGGCA